rnacentral:rRNA from 1 species
CCGGCACGGGUGAGUAACACGUAUCCAACCUGCCGUCUACUCUUGGACAGCCUUCUGAAAGGAAGAUUAAUACAAGAUGGCAUCAUGAGUUCGCAUGUUCACAUGAUUAAAGGUAUUCCGGUAGACGAUGGGGAUGCGUUCCAUUAGAUAGUAGGCGGGGUAACGGCCCACCUAGUCUUCGAUGGAUAGGGGUUCUGAGAGGAAGGUCCCCCACAUUGGAACUGAGACACGGUCCAA